rnacentral:rRNA from 1 species
AAAGGAAUUGACGGGGGCCCGCACAAGCGGUGGAGCAUGUGGUUUAAUUCGAUGAUACGCGAGGAACCUUACCUGGGCUCAAAUGUAUGUUGACGUAUUCUGAAAGGGAUACUUCUUCGGACAAUAUACAAGGUGCUGCAUGGUUGUCGUCAGCUCGUGCCGUGAGGUGUCGGGUUAAGUCCCAUAACGAGCGCAACCCCUAUCAUUAGUUGCCAUCAGGUCAAGCUGGGGACUCUAAUGAAACUGCCUACGCAAGUAGUGAGGAAGGUGGGGAUGACGUCAAAUCAGCACGGCCCUUACGUCCAGGGCUACACACGUGCUACAAUGGCCGGUACAAAGGGCAGCUACCUGGUGACAGGAUGCUAAUCUCAAAAGCCGGUCUCAGUUCGGAUCGGAGUCUGCAACCCGACUCCGUGAAGUUGGAUUCGCUAGUAAUCGCGCAUCAGCCAUGGCGCGGUGAAUACGUUCCCGGGCCUU